rfam:Homo sapiens chromosome 21, GRCh38 reference primary assembly.
GCUGGGUAUGGUGGCGCAUGCCUGUGGUCCCAGCUACUUGGGAGGCUGAGGCAGGAGAAUCACCUGAGCCCAGGGAGGUCAAGGCUGCAGUGAGCCAUGAUGGGGCCACUGCACUCCAGCCUGGGCAACAGAGUAAGACCCUGUUUCAA